CAUUGAAUGGCUGAAAUAAUAAGCAAUGGUCUCUUAAACCAAAUCAUAGUUAAAAUAACUUUCAAUGG
rnacentral:tRNA from 1 species